GCUGCUGAGAAUGCGUACUGCGCAAUUGGAACGAUCCCAAGCAAUGAGGUCAUCUAUGAAAACACCAUCGUCACGAACUAGUCGCUCUCGUAACUAUGGAUACCGAUAUCAUCACGUGACCUGGACACACAUAUCUGCAUCAGCGAUUAGUAUUUACCAUAGAUGUUAGCACGUAAAUACCUUUCGGCUAUGUUUACGAUUUUCGGCCCCGUGCCGAUUCAACAAGACCACUGCAUCUUGGCUGUACCUAAUUGGCUUCUCUCCCGUUGAUCUCGUCUUAUUGUUAUCAUCUUAUUGUUAUCAUCUUAUAGUUAUCCUCUUAUUGUUAUCCUCUUAUUGUCAUGACAUCUGACAUUACGUUGAUUUGUUAUAUGUACUCCGUGUGAUGACUCAUUAUUCACCUGACGAUGGUCAAGAAGUAAUUAAAGACAAUUUAACAUGUUCAUGUUCUUCCAUGUAAAUGUCCAACAAUGACCAUAUGCGUAGCAAGUCUUGAUUGUUUUAACCAUUUUCAUUUAAUCCCACAACAAUGACAACAGUUGUCAGUUACAUACAUUGUAGUGAUGGUCAUUACUUAGUUUUCAUUAUACAUCGCCUUUUCCUUAGAGGGAAAACCUGUUAUCAUUUGUUUUCUGCUUGAUAUGUAUGAUGUGUACCAUUUCCUGAGCAACGCAACUGGUAGUCUAGAUCAUCUAUUUUCAGUACCCUGUGACAAUUGGCUCCCAUAGCCUGUUGUCACAUUUCAGUCCAGACGUCUGUGUACUUUACCGAGAAAGUGUAAUCUUAAAUAUACAUAACCUAUUUUACAUUUGAAAACCUUCUAAAAGGCACCUUUGUCGCAUGAAAACACAAGAACUCUUUCGUUUAGUUGUUCGCAGUAUUUUGUAAAAGUGUAUCACUCUGAAACAUGA